UGGGGGAUAUUGCACAAUGGGCGAAAGCCUGAUGCAGCGACGCCGCGUGGGGGAUGACGGCCUUCGGGUUGUAAACUUCUUUUGCUCUGAACAAGGCAUGCUUUUGGGGUGUGUUGAGUGUAGGGGUUGAUUAGCGCCGGCUAACUACGUGCCAGCAGCCGCGGUAAUACGUAGGGCGCGAGCGUUGUCCGGAAUUAUUGGGCGUAAAGGGCUUGUAGGUGGCUGGUUGCGUCUGUCGUGAAAGCUCAUGGCUUAACUGUGGGUGUGCGGUGGGUACGGGCUGGCUUGAGUGCAGUAGGGGAGGCUGGAAUUCCUGGUGUAGCGGUGGAAUGCGUAGAUAUCAGGAGGAAUACCGGUGGCGAAGGCAGGUCUAUGGACUGUUACUGACGCUGAGGAGCGAAAGCGUGGGGAGCGAACAGG
rnacentral:rRNA from 1 species